UAAGGAAUAUUGGUCAAUGGACGCAAGUCUGAACCAGCCAUGCCGCGUGGAGGAUGAAGGUCCUCUGGAUUGUAAACUUCUUUUAUUUGGGAAGAAACCUCUCUAUUCCUAGAGAGUUGACGGUACCAAGUGAAUAAGCACCGGCUAACUCCGUGCCAGCAGCCGCGGUAAUACGGAGGGUGCAAGCGUUAUCCGGAUUCACUGGGUUUAAAGGGUGCGUAGGCGGGCUUGUAAGUCCGUGGUGAAAUCUCUGAGCUUAACUCGGAAACUGCCAUGGAUACUAUAGGCCUUGAAUUCUGUGGAGGUUUGCGGAAUAUGUCAUGUAGCGGUGAAAUGCUUAGAUAUGACAUAGAACACCGAUUGCGAAGGCAGCAGGCUACACAGCGAUUGACGCUGAGGCACGAAAGCGUGGGGAUCAAACA
rnacentral:rRNA from 1 species